GUCUCAGACUACUGAGACUUGUUCUGACGGCAUCAUUGUUUUGCAUCGAUGAUAUUAGGAGUCAAAUUCAGGUGGCAGAAUAAAUUAACUCUUUAUGUCAGUUAAUGUGCAAUCUCAAACAUCACACUGAAACCUGGUUGUGUUUUUUUUUUUCUAAUAAUCACAAACUAAAAAGAAAUAAAAGAGAGCUGCAUUUCUCAUUACACUUAUGUCAACUGGCAAUCUUCACACAUUUGACUUCCUGUAAUCUAUUGCUGGCAAAGAUGGAGGCAGAUGUGAUAGAAGAGAGUGAAGUCAGUAGCAGGAAGUGACACCUCAAAAACCCCACAAAGCACAAGUAUUUAUAUUUAACAAGUCAAAUCUUUAGAUGCAGUGUCAUUAGUGUGUAUGAGUACAGAAGAAGCACCAUGGUCCCAUUCAGAUGGAUUUUAUUCUUUCUACUAAUACUUCAGUGUAGAGGGAACAGUACAACAGCAGCACAACCAAGAACAUCAAACUCAACAAGUACAACUACAAUUAAACCUACUCCAACAAAUGGAACAGAAAUGAUUUCAUCAGGGGACAGCACAACAACAACAAUAUCAAUGUCGACAAAUACAACUACUAUAUCACCAUCAAGCCAACCUACAUCAAUAAAUGGAACAAAUGGAAAAGAAAAAACAGAAUUUUGGAAACGGUUUAUCAUUGUUCUUGUGGGAAUUGUGGUACUAAUACUUGCUAUAGUCAUCACCACAUGGAGAAAAUCAAACUGUGAGGAAAAACAAUUACAGCUAUAG
ensembl:lncRNA